AAUUUGAAUAUGCUUUUACUACUAGGUAUAACACCGAUCACUUUAAAAUCAAAAGAGCAAUAUCAAAAUAUUGUACAAUAUUAUUUGAGAGGAUAACAUCCUCGGAUCCUUUUUGCCAGAACGACCACCCAUUAUUUUUAAAAGGAAUCAAAAUCUUAAAAAUAAAUUAGCUCCAAACUACAGUAUUCAACAUAUUGACAAGAUGGACAACCAUACUUCGGAUAAGGGAUUCAGAUAUUGCGGACACUGCAAAGCAUGCAAUAAAAGUCGAUGGUGAAGAACUUUACUAGUACAGUAACAGGGAAACAAUACACAAUCAAACACAAAAUAGAUUGCCACACGGAUCACGUGAUAUAUUUAUUACAGUGUCCGUUUGGCAAACAAUAUGUUGGCAAAACAAAAAGUGAGGCUUUUAGAACACUUUGGAAACAUCAGAAAGAAGGCCAUCAACCAUACAGUCCCUGUACAUUGCAACUCCUGUUCACAUUUUAGCUGGAAUUAAUUCUCCUUCUUUGGAAUAGAACAUAUUCCACCACAUUGAGCAGGAGGAAAUAGAGAAGACAGACUCACACAGCGUGAAACCUUUUGGAUCCAUCAACUGGGUUUCCUGGAUCUAGGUGGUUUCAAUGCAGAUAUAGAUAUAGUGUGCUUUCUCUAACAAAUUAAUUACAUAAAGGGUUACAUUUAAAACUAGGAUAUUUCUCUUAAGGGAUUUGUAUUUUGUUAUAACAGAUGUUUAAGGUUUGUGUUUUCAUGCAUUUCUGGAAUGGGAUAUUUAUUCCCCAAAUGGUUCCUAAUAUUUAAAAAGUCUUUUU